GGAGAGGUGGCCGAGUGGUUAAUGGCAGCAGACUGUAAAUCUGCCCUCCUAACGGAGUACGCUGGUUCGAAUCCAGCCCUCUCCACCA
rnacentral:tRNA from 1 species